rnacentral:lncRNA from 1 species
GCAAGAACAAAGACCCUGUUAUCCCAAUCAUCAUCAUGAGGACUAGCUGGGCCGCAGCUUAAAGGGACAUUUCAUAGCUUAAAAAAGACAAACUGUUGGUCCUGCCACCUCCAACUACAAAGGUGUUGCAACUGAUAAGCCUUUUGGGAUCUUGAGGACGCCACAUCUCACGUGUGGAAAUUUCACUAACGUGGCUGCAGCAAGUGACCAGACAGAUGGCCGCAUUUGAGUGGGAGCCUCUUUAGCAAGAGCUUUUUAAAAUCAAGCUCCACCCAGGAGCUCUUUAUCUUCUUCAGAACCCACGGGAUUACAGACAUCUGCACCAGCCCCCGUGGGACCUUGGAGUCCAGGAGAAUGAAUACCAAGGCAUUGAUGCUCAUGCUCCCUGCUGGCUGGACCCAGGGAUGGAGCAGUGUCCUCACUCAUUGCACUCACCCUACCCAGGAUCUAUUUUUAGAGAAAAUCCCUUAAUCAGAAAGGAAGACUAAGAGAAAAAGGAAGAAAAGAUCUACAAAACAACUAGGAAAAAGUAACAAAAUGGCA